UACGGAGGGUGCAAGCGUUGCUCGGAAUUAUUGGGCGUAAAGGGUAGGUAGGUGGUCUCAUUUGUCUGGGGUGAAAGCCUUGGGCUUAACCCAAGAAGUGCCCCAGAAACGGUGAGACUAGAGUCCUGGAGAGGGUCGUGGAAUUCCCGGUGUAGCGGUGAAAUGCGUAGAGAUCGGGAGGAACACCAGAGGCGAAGGCGGCGACCUGGACAGGCACUGACACUCAACUACGAAAGCGUGGGGAGCAAACAGG
rnacentral:rRNA from 1 species